CGGGGAGGAGAUGCUAUACCUUCACGUGGUCUCCCCGGUGAGUAGUGUGUUUUCGAAUUUUCAAAGGAUCUGAACUGUGAAUUUUCUACAAUGAACACACGAAACCAAAUAGUA
rnacentral:ribozyme from 1 species